ACACAUGCAAGUCGAACGGUAACAGGAAGCAGCUUGCUGCUUUGCUGACGAGUGGCGGACGGGUGAGUAAUGUCUGGGAAACUGCCUGAUGGAGGGGGAUAACUACUGGAAACGGUAGCUAAUACCGCAUAACGUCGCAAGACCAAAGAGGGGGACCUUCGGGCCUCUUGCCAUCAGAUGUGCCCAGAUGGGAUUAGCUUGUUGGUGGGGUAACGGCUCACCAAGGCGACGAUCCCUAGCUGGUCUGAGAGGAUGACCAGCCACACUGGAACUGAGACACGGUCCAGACUCCUACGGGAGGCAGCAGUGGGGAAUAUUGCACAAUGGGCGCAAGCCUGAUGCAGCCAUGCCGCGUGUAUGAAGAAGGCCUUCGGGUUGUAAAGUACUUUCAGCGGGGAGGAAGGUGCUGUGGUUAAUAACCGCAGCAAUUGACGUUACCCGCAGAAGAAGCACCGGCUAACUCCGUGCCAGCAGCCGCGGUAAUACGGAGGGUGCAAGCGUUAAUCGGAAUUACUGGGCGUAAAGCGCACGCAGGCGGUCUGUUAAGUCAGAUGUGAAAAUCCCCGGGCUCAACCUGGGAAACUGCAUCUGAUACUGGCAGGCUUGAGUCUCGUAGAGGGGGUAGAAUUCCAGGUGUAGCGGUGAAAUGCGUAGAGAUCUGGAGGAAUACCGGUGGCGAAGGCGGCCCCCUGGACGAAGACUGACGCUCAGGUGCGAAAGCGUGGGGAGCAAACAGGAUUAGAUACCCUGGUAGUCCACGCCGUAAACGAUGUCGACUUGGAGGUUGUGCCCUUGAGGCGUGGCUUCCGGAGCUAACGCGUUAAGUCGACCGCCUGGGGAGUACGGCCGCAAGGUUAAAACUCAAAUGAAUUGACGGGGGCCCGCACAAGCGGUGGAGCAUGUGGUUUAAUUCGAUGCAACGCGAAGAACCUUACCUGGUCUUGACAUCCACGGAAGUUUUCAGAGAUGAGAAUGUGCCUUCGGGAACCGUGAGACAGGUGCUGCAUGGCUGUCGUCAGCUCGUGUUGUGAAAUGUUGGGUUAAGUCCCGCAACGAGCGCAACCCUUAUCCUUUGUUGCCAGCGGUUAGGCCGGGAACUCAAAGGAGACUGCCAGUGAUAAACUGGAGGAAGGUGGGGAUGACGUCAAGUCAUCAUGGCCCUUACGACCAGGGCUACACACGUGCUACAAUGGCAUAUACAAAGAGAAGCGACCUCGCGAGAGCAAGCGGACCUCAUAAAGUAUGUCGUAGUCCGGAUUGGAGUCUGCAACUCGACUCCAUGAAGUCGGAAUCGCUAGUAAUCGUGGAUCAGAAUGCCACGGUGAAUACGUUCCCGGGCCUUGUACACACCGCCCGUCACACCAUGGGAGUGGGUUGCAAAAGAAGUAGGUAGCUUAACCUUCGGGAGGGCGCUUACCAC
rnacentral:rRNA from 1 species